GACGAACCGAGCGAACGUUGUUCGGAAUCACUGGGCUUAAAGGGCGCGUAGGCGGGCCGUAAAGUCAAGGGUGAAAGCCCCCGGCUCAACCGGGGAAGUGCCUCUGAUACUGGCGGCCUCGAGGGAGGUAGGGGCGUGCGGAACUUCCGGUGGAGCGGUGAAAUGCGUAGAUAUCGGAAGGAACACCGGUGGCGAAAGCGGCGCGCUGGACCUCUUCUGACGCUGAGGCGCGAAAGCCAGGGGAGCGAACGGG
rnacentral:rRNA from 1 species